AGCCUGAUGCAGCGACGCCGCGUGCGGGAUGGAGGCCUUCGGGUUGUAAACCGCUUUUGAUCGGGAGCAAGCGAUCGAGUGAGUGUACCCGUUGAAUAAGCACCGGCUAACUACGUGCCAGCAGCCGCGGUAAUACGUAGGGUGCAAGCGUUAUCCGGAAUUAUUGGGCGUAAAGGGCUCGUAGGCGGUUCGUCGCGUCCGGUGUGAAAGUCCAUCGCUUAACGGUGGAUCUGCGCCGGGUACGGGCGGGCUGGAGUGCGGUAGGGGAGACUGGAAUUCCCGGUGUAACGGUGGAAUGUGUAGAUAUCGGGAAGAACACCAAUGGCGAAGGCAGGUCUCUGGGCCGUUACUGACGCUGAGGAGCGAAAGCGUGGGGAGCGAACAGGAUUAGAUACCCUGGUAGUCCACGCCGUAAACGGUGGAUGCUGGAUGUGGGGCCCGUUCCACGGGUUCCGUGUCGGAGCUAACGCGUUAAGCAUCCCGCCUGGGGAGUACGGCCGCAAGGCUAAAACUCAAAGAAAUUGACGGGGGCCCGCACAAGCGGCGGAGCAUGCGGAUUAAUUCGAUGCAACGCGAAGAACCUUACCUGGGCUUGACAUGUUCCCGACAGCCGUAGAGAUGCGGCCUCCCUUCGGGGCGGGUUCACAGGUGGUGCAUGGUCGUCGUCAGCUCGUGUCGUGAGAUGUUGGGUUAAGUCCCGCAACGAGCGCAACCCUCGCCCUGUGUUGCCAGCACGUCAUGGUGGGAACUCACGGGGGACCGCCGGGGUCAACUCGGAGGAAGGUGGGGAUGACGUCAGAUCAUCAUGCCCCUUACGUCCAGGGCUUCACGCAUGCUACAAUGGCCGGUACAACGGGAUGCGACAUGGCGACAUGGAGCGGAUCCCUGAAAACCGGUCUCAGUUCGGAUUGGAGUCUGCAACCCGACUCCAUGAAGGCGGAGUCGCUAGUAAUCGCGGAUCAGCAACGCCGCGGUGAAUGCGUUCCCGGGCCUUGUACACACCGCCCGUCAAGUCAUGAAAGUGGGUAGCACCCGAAGCCGGUGGCCUAACCCCUUGUGGGAUGGAGCCGUCUAAGGUGAGACUCGUGAUUGGGACUAAGUCGUAACAAGGUAGCCGUACCGGAAGGUGCGGCUG
rnacentral:rRNA from 1 species